AACCAGCUGGGGACUUUUCUCAGAUCUUCACUGUGAGAACCUGCUAGAGUCCUUGGAGAUAAAACUCACGAAAGUGUAAAGAUAGCUCUAUGGCAAGGUCUUCUUGGAGUUUUUAAUUCUCAGACUUAACCACAUUCAGCUUCCAGCAAUUCAUCAAUUAGAGUUCAGGUUUUCCUAACCUUGUUCUGGUUCCUGCAGAGGCACAAAGAUUACUGCUUGUGAGUUUCUGCUCUGGAAUGGAUGUUUUCUUUUAAAAAUGGUUUAUUGAAGUAUCAUGUACCUAUCUUAAGUGUACAGCACGAUGAUGUGUAUGCCCAUGUAACCAUCACCUAGAAGGAUGAGAACCACAAGCAUGAGAACAUGAGGAUAAAUACACUUUGGGGAAAAAGAAAACAGACAGAGGCAGCAGAGAAGGAAGACGAGAAGAAGAGAAAAAGAGAAGUAGGAAGAGGAUGAAUUCAUUUCGCUUAUCUGGCAAAUGUGUAAUCUGAGUAAUAGAGGGAACAACAGAUUGGACCCAACUAGGAUCUCCCUUGGAGUGGAUCAGACUGAUGAUUUCCACUAUCCAAAAGCUUCCUGAAUAAAAAAGAAGAAGGUGUCACCUACUUCAAUGUGACAUUGACCCCACCACUACAUCUUAAAGACCCUG
rnacentral:lncRNA from 10 species